rnacentral:rRNA from 1 species
ACUCAAAUGAAUUGACGGGGGCCCGCACAAGCGGUGGAGCAUGUGGUUUAAUUCGACGCAACGCGCAGAACCUUACCCAGACUUGACAUCCCUGGAAUCCUGUAGAGAUAUGGGAGUGCCCGCAAGGGAGCCGGGAGACAGGUGCUGCAUGGCUGUCGUCAGCUCGUGUCGUGAGAUGUUGGGUUAAGUCCCGCAACGAGCGCAACCCCCGCCUUUAGUUGCCAGCAUUCAGUUGGGCACUCUAGAGGGACUGCCGGUGUCAAGCCGGAGGAAGGUGGGGAUGACGUCAAGUCCUCAUGGCCUUUAUGUCUGGGGCUACACACGUGCUACAAUGGCCGGUACAAAGGGCAGCAAAGCCGCGAGGCGGAGCCAAUCCCAGAAAACCGGCCCCAGUUCGGAUCGAAGUCUGCAACUCGACUUCGUGAAGUCGGAAUCGCUAGUAAUCGCGGAUCAGAACGCCGCGGUGAAUACGUUCCCGGGCCUUGCACACACCGCCCGU